GGAAGUAAAAGUCGUAACAAGGUCUCCGUUGGUGAACCAGCGGAGGGAUCAUUACUGAGUUUACGCUCUACAACCCUUUGUGAACAUACCUACAACUGUUGCUUCGGCGGGUAGGGUCCCCGUGACCCUCCCGGCCUCCCGCCCCCCCCCGGGCGGGUCGGCGCCCGCCGGAGGAUAACCAAACUCUGAUUUAACGACGUUUCUUCUGAGUGGUACAAGCAAAUAAUCAAAACUUUUAACAACGGAUCUCUUGGUUCUGGCAUCGAUGAAGAACGCAGCGAAAUGCGAUAAGUAAUGUGAAUUGCAGAAUUCAGUGAAUCAUCGAAUCUUUGUACGCACAUUGCGCCCGCCAGCAUUCUGGCGGGCAUGCCUGUUCGAGCGUCAUUUCAACCCUCAAGCUCUGCUUGGUGUUGGGGCCCUACAGCUGAUGUAGGCCCUCUAAGGUAGUGGCGGACCCUCCCGGAGCCUCCUUUGCGUAGUAACUUUACGUCUCGCACUGGGAUCCGGAGGGACUCUUGCCGUAAAACCCCCCAAUUUUCCAAAGGUUGACCUCGGAUCAGGUAGGAAUACCCGCUGAACUUAAGCAUAUCAAUA
rnacentral:rRNA from 1 species